UACGGGAGGCAGCAGUAGGGAAUUUUGGACAAUGGGCGCAAGCCCGAUCCAGCCAUGCCGCGUGCGGGAAGAAGGCCUUCGGGUUGUAAACCGCUUUUGUCAGGGAAGAAAUCUUCUGAGCUAAUACCUCGGGAGGAUGACGGUACCUGAAGAAUAAGCACCGGCUAACUACGUGCCAGCAGCCGCGGUAAU
rnacentral:rRNA from 1 species